CUCACAGCCGCGGGAUAUACUUUAAUCUCCUUUACGGAUUGUUCCUUCUGAGGGUGAAGGUUGCUUUUGCGACCGGCGCUUGAAGAGCACGGCUUUUCGUGAAGAAAAGAGAAAUAAACACUAAAAAGAAGCGUAUUUGAGGGCGAACAGGGGGAGGAGGACGAGGCUCGGGGCUGCCCCUCCCGGCUCCACAGCGCCGCCUCACCCGCGCCUCAGCGGGAACCGCUUCACAAAAUGGCCGCCCGGCGGGGCAGCGGCGAGCGGCGCUGAGGCGACAAAAUGGCGCCGGGCGGGCAGCGGGGGGAAGGACGAGGACGAUGAGCGGCUGGCGGGGCCGGAGCGGCGAGCCGGAGCCUCGGCCGUGCCAAGAGCUCGGCGGAGGGGCUCCUCCUCAUGGGCGCAUCCCCUCCGGGCGGGCGGUGGAAGCGCUGCGGGGGAAACCCGACCUCCCCCCCUUUUUCCUUCACAAAAGGAAGCGAAAAUCCGCCAGAAAUGCUGCCUCAGCCCCCCCCGGCGCAGGUCGCCGGCACCGACCCUUAAAAUACCUUUUAUUUUUCCUCAUAGCCUGAAGCUUUUUGGCCCAGAAUUGCCCGUUCCCUGCGCUCCCCCUAUGACCACCACACGCACCCCGAGGCGGGCCGGUCCAUGCCUCCAUUCUCUUCCACCGCUUUUCUCCUUCAAGCCGCCACCUCCCGCUCUCCUGUCGGCAUGGAGAAAUACCCAACCGUGCUUAAAAAGAGAAGAAUCAACCCCAAAACACCCGAGGAUGGAUGCGCCUUCCGAGCCGGAGGCGUGUGGGGAAGAAGAAGCCGUCGCCGCUCGUCUUGUUCCCAACGACAACCUGCCCGCCAUAACGUUAAUUAAAAGCAUAUCCUUCGUCUGGUCAGACGUGCUUGGCUCCUUAUUCCAGAAGCUUCUACGGGGGAUGGGAGCACCCACUGCGGAGCCUUUGCCGCAGCGCCGGGCAGGCGUGGUCCUUGCCGGAGGAGGAGGAUGAAGAUGAUGAGGAGGAGGAGGAUGCACCACCUCUCCCUGGCAUCUCUUCCCCCUCGCUAGAUUUCCCCAUCCAUGACAAGGAUGCAGGGAGGUGUUUGCAAGGUGAAACACAGGAUUGUUUGUGUAACCCCUCUCCACACCUUUGUAAGUAUUACAAACACGCAGUGAUCUCAGAGCCUCCUGGGCAGUGGGAGCUGGCCUUGCUGAGGAGGGAAAAGCACGGUGCUCUGGUUGUGUAAGCGUGUGUUGUACACGGGCCACAGAAACCCACAAUGUUUCUGUGGUUACUUCUGUCUGCAUAGCACAAGUAGGUCCCAGGGCUUCCCCUUCCCACUGCUUACUAAUUCACAAAAGCCAAGGCUUUGUGGAAAAAAAGCUCUGCCUUGUGGCCUUAACCAAAAAUAAAUAAAUAAAGUGCUGUGGAUUAGUCA